GGUCCCGUAGCUCAGUUGGCGAGAGCGCCCGAUUGUCGAUCGGGAGGACGCCGGUUCAAGUCCGGUCGGGGCCG
rfam:Streptomyces auratus AGR0001 genomic scaffold Scaffold1, whole genome shotgun sequence.